rnacentral:rRNA from 1 species
CAGCAGCCACGGUAAUACGGAGGGUGCAAGCGUUACUCGGAAUCACUGGGCGUAAAGGACGCGUAGGCGGAUUUCAAGUCUCUUGUGAAAUCUAACGGCUUAACCGUUAAACUGCUUGGGAAACUGAUAAUCUAGAGUAAGGGAGAGGCAGAUGGAAUUCUUGGUGUAGGGGUAAAAUCCGUAGAGAUCAAGAAGAAUACCCAUUGCGAAAGCGAUCUGCUGGAACUUAACUGACGCUAAUGCGUGAAAGCGUGGGGAGCAAACAGGAUUAGAUACCCGAGUAGUCCCUGUCUCUUAUACA